rnacentral:lncRNA from 1 species
GUGUGUGUGUGUGCGAGGACAUGGGCACACCUCACCCGAGCACGUGUGUAGGUCAGGCUCGCAGCUCGUUAUCUUUGUAUAAGCUUGGCUCGUAUGGGGAUCCUUUUUCGUUGAUGCAUGUGAGACAUCCAAUGGUCAUCUAGCCAUUGAUGAGAUGGAGGCUAGUAACAAUAGCAAUCAAAUGGUCAUCUAGCCAUUGAUGAGAUGGAGGCUAGUAACAAUAGCC